GCUAGCUGACGGACUAGUGUUAGAAAAGGCUACAUGAUGUUCCUGUGAUUAAAUUUGAAGUUCAAAUGGAAUCAUGACUCAGAGC